rnacentral:rRNA from 1 species
AUUGAACGCUGGCGGCAGGCCUAACACAUGCAAGUCGAGCGGAUGAAGGGAGCUUGCUCCUGGAUUCAGCGGCGGACGGGUGAGUAAUGCCUAGGAAUCUGCCUGGUAGUGGGGGAUAACGUCCGGAAACGGGCGCUAAUACCGCAUACGUCCUGAGGGAGAAAGUGGGGGAUCUUCGGACCUCACGCUAUCAGAUGAGCCUAGGUCGGAUUAGCUAGUUGGUGGGGUAAAGGCCUACCAAGGCGACGAUCCGUAACUGGUCUGAGAGGAUGAUCAGUCACACUGGAACUGAGACACGGUCCAGACUCCUACGGGAGGCAGCAGUGGGGAAUAUUGGACAAAGGGCGAAAGCCUGAUCCAGCCAUGCCGCGUGUGUGAAGAAGGUCUUCGGAUUGUAAAGCACUUUAAGUUGGGAGGAAGGGCAGUAAGUUAAUACCUUGAUGUUUUGACGUUACCAACAGAAUAAGCACCGGCUAACUUCGUG